CCUACGGGUGGCUGCAGUGGGGAAUAUUGGGCAAUGGGCGCAAGCCUGACCCAGCAACGCCGCGUGAAGGAAGAAGGCUUUCGGGUUGUAAACUUCUUUUCUGAGGGACGAAGAAAGUGACGGUACCUCAGGAAUAAGCCACGGCUAACUACGUGCCAGCAGCCGCGGUAAUACGUAGGUGGCAAGCGUUAUCCGGAUUUAUUGGGUGUAAAGGGCGUGUAGCCGGGAAGACAAGUCAGAUGUGAAAUCCCGCGGCUCAACCGCGGAACUGCAUUUGAAACUGUUUUUCUUGAGUAUCGGAGAGGUAAUCGGAAUUCCUAGUGUAGCGGUGAAAUGCGUAGAUAUUAGGAAGAACACCAGUGGCGAAGGCGGAUUACUGGACGACAACUGACGGUGAGGCGCGAAAGCGUGGGGAGCAAACAGGAUUAGAUACCCUGGUAGUC
rnacentral:rRNA from 1 species